GCGCUGCUGGAGUCGUUGUGAAUACUGAAAGAAGUGGCGUGUGCUAAGCACCGGGGACAGUGCCCAGCACGUAGCUGUGCCCAGCACGUAGCUGUGCCCAGCACACAGCUGUGCCCAGCACAGCAUUCCCUAGCUCUCUCCAGCUUCAUUUCCUGCCUCUGUGAGGCAGAUAUCUUGCAACAUCCCCGUCACACAAUAGGUAUGCUGAGAGGGGAUCGCCCUUUCCUUUUUCUGUUGCCUUUCUGAAGAAUGAAACCAUUUCUCAUUUUCCCACCUCCAGGAAAUCCAGCUCUCUGCAUUUACUCCCUCAACAAUAGCUACUGAGCUUAUUCUCUGACUAGGGCUGCCCGCUGAGGAGUUCCAAGAUGAGACAUGGAUACUAUUUAUCACUCUCAAAGAGAUGCUCUUAGGGACACCGUACUUUGUGGAGGGGCAGCAACGGAGGACGCAGAGGUCUUAGCGCGGAGGACAGAAAUACAGAGCCUGCAUGGAGACCGGACCAUUUCUUACAAGAUCUACACAGCGACAGAGCGCAGAAGCGGAGCCAACAGUGAGAUCACACAUAUCCAACUGCAGUGAAUAAGAAGAGCCGAGCGGCAGCCUAACCAAGGCCCACUGCAGUGGAAAGGCCUGCUUGGGGGCUGCUGGGCCGUCAUUUCAAUGCUGGAACUGGCUGGUAGCUCCUGUCAUUCUUGACAGGGUCGGGAGGGAAUUCCUGCUGACCACAGGGGCUCCCAACUCUCACACUGUAUGGAAGGAAGCAUGGAGAGCGAGCUGUGUUGGACAGUGUGCCUGCCAGGGAAGACAGAAAGAAGAAUGUCCAACUUGCUGAAACCGGGGCAUGACCCAGUGGGUGUUUCCAGUAUGUGUGGCUCUUUGAUGUCCUUUGGCAACAUUUUUCUUCUGCUUUCCCUCAGAUCUCUGGCCUAAUGUUGCGUAAGGGAUGCAGCGAGUGAGGGAUGCAGCGAGGAGAGCUGGGAGGCUCACAGUCACUGCCUCCCAGCAUGUGGCCUGGGACUCCAGGCUGGAGUGUUUCCGAUGUCCCCUGGUGGGAGGCAGGGCAGGGGGAAGCUGGACUGCUUGGUGUAGAGCCGCUGCUUGGCUACACCACCGUUAGGGCCACAAGGCCAUCCGAUGCCUCUGUGUGAGUUAGGAAAAGCACCUCCUGUGUGCGGAUACAGCUCUUCUUGGCUUGGCAACAGAAGGCUUAGAGUUCAGCUCCAACGCUUUGGUGGGUAACCCACAUGACUAUGCCCAGCGGCUGCCUCCCCCAUUUCCCCUCCAAGUGCAAAUAGUGGGCUCAGGGUUGAACGCAAGAGGAGGACUAACAGAAAGGAGAAUGGGUGGGGGCUCCCAGAACUGUUCAGGCUCAGAAAUCAGCCAUCUAAGAAACAAAAGCCACGCGAAGCCAGGGUCUAAUAUUAAGACUGAGGUCUUGGCUCCCGGGAACCUUUCUCAGAGCUGCAAGGCACAGGGAAGGCAGGGGGGCGUUCCAGGAGUGAUUCCCCAAAUGUCAUCUUCCUUCCCAAGUCCAUUAAGUGCCCUUACUCUCUGCUCACACUCACACACUCGGGUGUUAAGUAGGUUUUGAUUUAUGCGUGUGUUUAAUACACGUCUUUAAUAUCUGCCCGUAAUUUUAGUCUUUCUCUUGAACUCCAAGCUCCCAGAAAGUGCAGACCGCGCACUAAUUGAGCAUCUUUCUCAGUGAAAUGUCUGGCCCAUCGCCACCUGGUGCUUUUAGAUGAUAAUGAUGACCAUCAAGUUCCGAUUCCUCGCUGUGGCAUUUCAGACUUUCCAUCAUCUGGUCUUUCGCCUGUUUCCUUCCCUGUUCUCAUUAUUCUGUCUCAACACCCCCACGCACUAGCCCAACUAGCUGACACCCCCCAGGCCUCUCAUCGAUGACUUAGCUGCUGCUUUUAUGGACACCGCCCUCUUCCCUCCCUCCUACCCCCUGAGGAUCCACACCCAGCCCAGCUUUGGAGAGCUAAUUCCAGAGCUGUUCUUUGACAGCUGUCCUGAGUCCUUGUGCAGGAGUGAUCUGUGCCUUGGCUUUCCUGUAAACUUGCAUUUGACUUCUGACGGCAAUCUUCACCUUUUACCGUGCACAGGCUGGCUUCCCAGUUAGGGCCCCGUACCUCAUCCACACCCCUCUCUGCACCCUUCACUCUGGGGAUGGCGACCUGGGAUUCAGCAAGUCCCACCUUGCUCCGAGUGUGUGUUUGCUCAUCAUCAGUAUAGGUUGGACAUAGUGGUCUCUAAGGCCCAUGGAGGCUCCGGUCGGUCUCUGGCUCACUGAGUCCCAGAUGAAUACAGGGUUAGAAGGAGAUCCAUUCAGCUAAAGAAAAACUUCAAGUUUUGGGGUUGCUGAGAAGUUGGACAUUCAAGUCGGUUAGUCCCAGGCCACCUGGUUUUUCUCCCCCCGUAAACGGAAACAGUAGUGAGUGGGUCGGAAUAAAUGGCACCAAGAGUCGAUGUCUGUUGCUCAGCCCUGGCCUCGCCUGAAGUUCCCCUUCCGCCCUUCUUGAGGCAAAGGUUUGGCUCACACUCUGGCAGUGGUGGCCGACGCUGUCCUGUGUGUGCCAGGUCCCUCUGUGCGAGCUCAGGACUGCAUGUACCAUGACAGCCAGCAAAGGAGCAGCCUGGCCUGCACCGAGGCCUAACCAGGACCUAUUUUUGGUAGUUAAAUUGCUAAGCAUUUAGGGCUUGAGUACCCUGACAAAUCCUUUUAAAAUAGGCCCGAUAUUGUCUCCCCAGAGUGACUCAGCACCCCAUACAGUAGCUGUGAUUCACAAAAGUGUGGGCACCAAGGGCGUGUGGGUGCUUCUUGGAGGCUGCUCAGCUCUCCCUCCUGGAACCCAGAGGGGUCACAGCCAGGAGAGGCGGUACCCACACGCCAUACCCUCGGGCUUCCGGAAUACCACUUUCCUCGCAGUAACAAGCUUCUGUUCUGUGCGCCCGUUGCCAACCCUCCAAGGCAAGGGCAUUUUGUCGGGACAACUUCAGAGCUGCCAUGGAGUAGGGAGACACCCUGGAACUCUGCUACCUCGAUGUGGGGCAGACGUUGCCCUUAGGACUGGGAGGAUGGGAAUGCCCCAUCUGGUAGAGGCCUAGCCAAGAGUCUCUGGGCGUCAGGCCCAUCCCGGCUGCUGACUCACAGUGGGGCUCAAUUUCCUACGGAGGGCAGGCCCAGCUCUGGGGAGCCCUGAAGGCUUAGUGGUGUUGAUGCCGCUAUAGACUAGGGCCAGUGGGCAGGGAGAAAGCCCUGCUGGGCCCCUGACAUUGGGGCAGUGGAGUGGACCGGGGUCGGGGAGAGAGUGGGAGGAGGAGGAGGUAAGGUCCCACUCCCCAGGUUUGCAGAGGCAGCUGGUUUGAGUGAGGACGGCGGGAGUCAGGCAAGGCAGGACUAAGUCCAGCCUGCACGCUGGCUUCCAGAACUGCCGGGCCAUACAGCUCUCAGAUCCCAUAGCUGGCUUUAAGAGUUCCAGUUUCGCCAUGGACCCUAACAGACAGGCUAGGAAGGUUCAAAACCGAGUAAGCCGAGUUCAUAUAUAAAAACUCAAGAUCCAUUAGAAUCCCGUAUCCCACUUUGAGCUUCCUCUGCAUCACAAGGGCCCCAGAAGUCACUCCAUCUUCUCCUGUAUCUCAUUACACAAAUAUGAGAUGACCGUAGGUGUCCGCUUUCUACUGCCCUCUCCAAAUGCUGUGAGAAUGAAGAAAGACCCAGAACGUGGGUGUACACUCAGAGGCUCCAGGUAAAGUGCUGCUGAGUCUUGGCACGGAAUGGAGAGAAUGUUUAAAACGUCCUCAGAAAUGUUUUUGUAGCCUCUAAGUUCUGUUUCUGUGGGGUGAGAAGCACUGUGUUUGCGUGUGUGUG